rnacentral:rRNA from 1 species
AUGCAGUCGAGGGGUAACAGAGAGAAGCUUGCUUCUUUGCUGACGACCGGCGCACGGGUGCGUAACGCGUAUACAAUCUACCUUUUGCUGAGGGAUAGCCCAGAGAAAUUUGGAUUAAUACCUCAUAGUAUAUAUGAAUCACAUGGUUUAUAUAUUAAAGGUUACGGCAGAAGAUGAGUAUGCGUUCUAUUAGCUAGAUGGUGUGGUAACGGCACACCAUGGCAACGAUAGAUAGGGGCCCUGAGAGGGGGAUCCCCCACACUGGUACUGAGACACGGACCAGACUCCUACGGGAGGCAGCAGUGAGGAAUAUUGGACAAUGGGCGAGAGCCUGAUCCAGCCAUGCCGCGUGCAGGAAGACUGCCCUAUGGGUUGUAAACUGCUUUUAUACAGGAAGAAACACUCCCUCCGUGAGGGAGCUUGACGGUACUGUAAGAAUAAGGAUCGGCUAACUCCGUG